rnacentral:rRNA from 1 species
UACGUAGGGCGCAAGCGUUGUCCGGAAUUAUUGGGCGUAAAGAGCUCGUAGGCGGCUUGUCACGUCGGGUGUGAAAGCCCGGGGCUUAACCCCGGGUCUGCAUUCGAUACGGGCUAGCUAGAGUGUGGUAGGGGAGAUCGGAAUUCCUGGUGUAGCGGUGAAAUGCGCAGAUAUCAGGAGGAACACCGGUGGCGAAGGCGGAUCUCUGGGCCAUUACUGACGCUGAGGAGCGAAAGCGUGGGGGAGCAAACAGG